GGGCGGCCGGAAGGGCAGAGGGACGGACAGCCGGCGCGCGCUGAGGCCUUUACCUCAGCCUCCUCCUCCUCGUCGUCGUCAUUAUGCCUAAAGCACCGAAGGGGAAAGAUGUAGGACAUGAGAAGAAAGUUAUCCAUCCUUACAGUAGAAAAGCAGCUCAGCUUACCCGAGAAUCUCACAAACAAGAUAAGAGAGAAAAGCUGAAGAACGACAAAGCUUUGCGCCUAAACAUUAUAGGUGAAAAACUGCAGUGGUUCCAAAAUCACCUUGAUCCCAGCAAGUCCGGGUACACAAAGAAAGAAGCAUGUGAACUAAUUGAGAGUUACAUACAUCGGUUCAGCAGCGAACUGGAGCAGAUCGAGUUGCGAAACAGCAUUAAAGGCAGGCAGGGACGGCAACACUGUUCCCGGGAAGCCACCAUCAGACAGACCAUGGAACGAGAAUGGCGGCUGUACGAGGGAUACGGGCUGGAGAUUCCUGAUAUUGUGAAUGCAAAGCAUCUGAAAACUUUCAGGGAAUGGGAUUUUGAUCUAAAGAAGCUGCCAAACAUUAAGAUGAGAAAAUUUUGUGCUAAUGAUGCAGUUUCCAAAAGGAAGAAAAAUAUAGUAAUAGAGGAAGAACCAGGUGGUGAAAAAGUUGAAGACAUAAGCAUGUUAGAUGUCAUGGAGGAGCAGAAUUCAGCUCACAAAGAUUGAUUCUGGUGAACUUGGAUUGAGCGGGAACAGCCUUCAAGUUCCACACAGCUGCAGGGAGACAGGUUUACAAAUUCUCCAGCCUAUUCUAAAAUGACUAAUAAGGAGCCCAGCAUCCUGAGUUCGAACAGGCUCAUGCCAGCAGGAGAGGGUCAUAGCCAAAAUGCACAUGUUCUGGCGAUCUGUGGUGCCAAUGGAGAAGGAUAAUCAACCUCGACUCUGAAAAAGCCGAUUCGCCAUGGGCCACCCAUUCUUGUCCCACUUUGAUGUAUGUUAUUUUUCCUAAAAUCUUUCGUGUGCUUACGGUUUUGGGUCAUUUUUACUGAUACAUUUUUCUAACUCAUUACAGAUAAAAUUCACAAGAUCCUUGAUUUAGAAGAAGUUAUGUGGUCCUUCUUGUCAGCAUUAGAGAAGGGAACGGGCCCAGCUCCAGACUUCCUCCAUCCUUUUCCUCUGGUUGGGGAACUAGCUGGUAGGAAAUAGAAGUAAAUAGGUGGUUUGGUUACAUGCGGAUUUGUUUUCUUUAAACGUUACUGGAAAAAUUCGAUUUAAUCCAUUUUGCAUUGAAAAAUUAGCACCGAAGAGUUGUAAAAUUAACAAUCUUCUGGCCAGUAACGAUCUUAGUCCAAGAAAAAGUUCUAUGUUAAUAUAACAGCAGUCAUUUCUCCCAUUCAGUGAGCCCAUGCAACUGGUUCUCACUUGGAAAACUUUUUUUUUCCUUUAAGAAAGGUAUCUUUCUACACAGCAAAACUCUUCAGCGAGAAAACAUUAAGAGGAAUGCUUUAGCCUAAAAAGCUUGAAACGGAAAAACCCUCCAGCCAGAAAGAGGCUUGAGGAAAUAAAUUUGACCAACAAAUUAUAGAAAGGUACAGAAGUUUGGGUCACGUGUUUAAUGUACAAAUGUUUUCUUCCACAGAUAACUGUACUCUUUUUCAUUUGUCUUAGUUCACAUUAGUCCACAAAACAUCAAGUAUUUUUUUUUAACGAAAGAAAAUUGGCUAAAAGAAAAAUAGCAAAACCCUGCAGACCCAAGAAUUGCACACCAACACAUUUUCCUCUUGUUUCAGCCUAGUGUUCUGUCUGGGAUGAGGGCGGUCAGCUGGGAGGAAGCUCUGCUCCCCAAGAUGGCGAUUGCAGAAUGAAGCCGGCAUCUUGAAGAUGCAAGACGACAACCAGAG